ensembl:lncRNA
GCACUGACAGCCCCCUCUCCCUCUCAGCAUUUCCUCUCUCUCCUCUCUCUCUGCCUCGUUCUCUCUUUCUCUCCCUCCCUCUCUCUCUCUCUCUUUUUGUCUCUCUUUAUGUCUAUGGCAUUGUGUCUGAAUAAUUUUCAGGCCUUUUUUUUUCCUUCCUUCUCAUAUGCACACGCUAAAAGAACUAGACAAAGAUACAAGGUGUUUGCUGCAGUCCACAUCUCUAGGAGAAAAAAAAAAAAAAGCUCAUGAUUACAGUGCCACUUUUUUUUUUUUUCUUUUUCUUUUUUUUUUUUUUUUUUUUCCACCUAUGCUCAGUGAUUAAACUUCCCCAGGAUGGGGAAGAAAUAAGAGGUGGAAUUGAAAUAGGGAUGAGGAAAAUACCAUUGCAGCAGCUGCAGUCAGUGGUGUCUGCUGCCAGAUGUGUGAAGGUUCCCGGGGUCCUGGACACUAAAAGGAUGCAUAAAAAUAUUUGGAGACAAAAGCUGCAUCCUCAGUGAUCAUUUUCUGUAUUUAACAUGGCAGCAGGCACCGUGUGGAGAAAUCAACAAGCUGGAUGUUGAACUGGACUUUCCUCCUUUCUAGGAUGAAAGGAUGUGAUCUAUCCCGUGCCAAAAGGGAGCUGAGAGCAAUGAACAUAUGGCUGUUAAUAUCAGCACUGGUGUAUUUGCAGCGAUGCCUAUCAACAUCCACCAGAGAGCAGGGCAGCUCCAAAACCCACAUCUUUCAUGCUGUGGAAAUUGAUGGAGACAGCAACACAGCCAGCUUCUUGGCCAAACAACAUGGAAUGCAGUUCAUUUCAAAGGUACUGGUCUCUCAGCCUGUAAGGCUUGUGCAUGAUGUAUAUGAGAACGAUUUCCAGCAGAGAGAAGCUUAUCACAGAUCCACCUAAAAGCUGCAAAAAGGAAGCAUUUGGCAGGAGAAGGGAGAUUGUUUCAAAACAGUUGGAUGAAAUGCUCCUAUGGUGCUGGAGUUUCACUCUGCCAUGAUCAAUGAAUAAUUAUUGCUUUCUGAUGUCAGUGGGAUCUGAUGAGAGUAAGAUGGUUAGAGUGCAAGCAGACAGCAAAAACAGCAGUGACAAAAACUUGCUGGUCUCCUCCUGCUGUCCAGCCUACAAGAUGUGAUCAACUCCUGGCAUAAGAGAAAGAAAUUUUGAAAGGAAGAGACGAUGGCAUCAACAAUGUGCCCCUGUGUCUGAAAGACAUAAUUACUGGGUGGAGGAACAGGCUGCUCAUCUCCUCCUGGGCAGGAUGAGAAUGGUGCCGGUAAGGAAUGAAAAUACUUCCAGGAACUGAAGGAAUGAUUAGAGCAUAUCUAAAGAGGAUAUUUGCCCAUGACUGUUAAAGUGCUGAAUUGACUUUCUUGAUCCUAGAUAAAUAAACAGAGAGGAGGCUUUCUGCUACUGUAGGCUGUGCUGGAGGCUUCACCUUUUCCUGUCAGAUGUGGACUUUGCUACAGCAUUUCAAGGUCUUGGAAGAAGGCCUAAGAAGUGUGUACUCAAUAUUCUAUAUACUGAGAGAAUAUAAGCAAGUAUGCAAAACUAACUCUCCUUCACGAGAAAUUGAAGAGUGGACCGUGGGUAGUAGCCCUGUUUGUAUUUACAUCCAGUCAUUUAUUGCCCAUUAAAGAAGUAAUGCUAUGUUAAUGUAAGGGAAAAAAUCAAUGCUACUCAGAUCAGUAGCUGUGGGGAAACAGUGCAGCAGCUGGUUUGCAAACAGCAAGCCCACAUAGAUCAAUGAAAUUACAAGCUAAAUCUGCUGAUGCUCACAAACUGCUCCAGCAUUGUGAUGUCUAACCUUUCUCAAGUUCAAGAUCUCUGUGCUGCUCAUCAAUGCUGAUGGCAAGAUAUGUGAUAGCUGUGAUAGUUAUUAACAAGGUGAAAGUUGUCUGUAUACAAUAAUGUUGCUGUUGGUGAGUGAAUAUUGAUGGAAAACUCUCGUUUGACUUGCUGGCUAGGAGUGAAAGAGAAGUUCAGCAAAGGUUAGGAAUUGCUGCUUCUAAGUUUGGCUCAAGAUCAACAAUGACUGUAAGGGAACACCAGGAUUUUUUCACAACUUCUUAUGUCAAAUACGUGGGUGUGCUCACAUUCAAGAUGGAGUUUCUGAGUGCUAUCUGUUCAGACUCUGUGUCUUCAGAGUAGGGUAUUUUUCUUUAUUUGAACCUCAAUGAAAAAUUUUUUUGUCUGAGCUAAGGAGAAGUGGUC